ensembl:lncRNA
CUCGAUAAUCUCCAGGAAAUGUAUGUGGCGGCCUCCAUCUCCUACAAAAGAUAGUUUUCACGCUGAAUGUAAUUUUCUCCUGGCAUUCCUGGAUGUGCCAGUGGACUGUGAACUCACUGAAGGCAAAUCAAUGUCUUAUUCAUCGUUGCAGCUUUGAUGUAUGGUACAGAACAACUUUUCAAUGAUCAUCUGAUUUAUAAUGUCAUCGCAGAACUUUAAGUAGAGUUUCCUGUGCCAUACGCAUGGUCUACUCUACAAGGUGUGAGACAUUUCUAUCUUGACCACAUUCAGUCCAAAGGCCCUCACUAUGCAUGGAAGAAACAAAACGAUAUAAAACAGUUCUUAUUCCUAGGAGCAGACAACUUACUUGGGGAAAACUCAUGAAUCAGAUCACAAGGAGGUAAUGGCUUGACGAUUUUCAGCUUCAACCCAGUAAUCAAGGAACUACCCUUCCUCUUACACUAGGGGGUGCGUGAGGACUAAGAUUCAGAAUCUUCUCGGCCAUCUUCUCCACAGUGAUUUGUGUCAGCUACUGCCCCCUUUCUUCAGAACUGGUUUUCCAGUGUCAUGACUUGGAAGAGGGAAAAGAAUUCCCGGAAACCUCCCCUACCUCACAAACCAGGCAUGUCCUCCACCGGGUUGCUCUGCCCUCUUCACCACGGGACAGGCACACCCUGACCUACCCACAGGGCGCAGCAUUUCUGGGGCAUCCUGCCCAGAACUGGGGACCCACAGAAGAAAAGAGAAGCACUGCUUUAAACACAGGACAGAUAUUACGAAGCAGCAUUUCUUAUAGAAGAAAAAGAAUACGAUGAUGCAAGAAACAUAAAAAGAAAAAAAGACCCAAAGCUAAAUAGUGCACUCAAUAGACACACAGUAAAUGCAGAUGGAUCACCAACAGUAGCCUGGAGGCAUGCCUGUCACAGAAUAGGCUUCUUUUCCAUACAUUUAGAAAUUCAGGACUAGCUUCCUCAUCACCAAUUUCUUGUGCAUUACUGUAUGAGCCACAUUCAUGGCACAGCCC